ACCCGCUGAACUUAAGCAUAUCAAUAAGCGGAGGAAAAGAAACCAACAGGGAUUGCCCUAGUAACGGCGAGUGAAGCGGCAACAGCUCAAAUUUGAAAUCUGGCGCAAGCCCGAGUUGUAAUUUGUAGAGGAUGCUUCUGGCCAGCGGCCGUUCUAAGUUCCUUGGAACAGGACGUCAUAGAGGGUGAGAAUCCCGUAUGUGACCGGCGCGCAGCCUUUACGUAGCUCCCUCGACGAGUCGAGUUGUUUGGGAAUGCAGCUCUAAAUGGGAGGUAAAUUUCUUCUAAAGCUAAAUACCGGCCAGAGACCGAUAGCGCACAAGUAGAGUGAUCGAAAGAUGAAAAGCACUUUGGAAAGAGAGUUAAAAAGCACGUGAAAUUGUUGAAAGGGAAGCGCUUGCAACCAGACUUCGUAGCGAUGUUCCGCUGGUCUUCUGACCGGUCUACUCAUCGUCGCGAGGCCAACAUCGUCUGGGCCCGCUGGAUAAGACCUAAGGAAUGUAGCUUCCCUCGGGAAGUGUUAUAGCCUGUGGUGAUGCAGCGUGGCUCGGGCGAGGUCCGCGCUUCGGCAAGGAUGUUGGCGUAAUGGUUGUCAGCGGCCCGUCUUGAAACACGGACCAAGGAGUCUAACAUCUAUGCGAGUGUUCGGGUGUCAAACCCCUACGCGUAAUGAAAGUGAACGGAGGUGGGAAGCGCAAGCUGCACCAUCGACCGAUCCUGAUGUCCUCGGAUGGAUUUGAGUAAGAGCAUAGCUGUUGGGACCCGAAAGAUGGUGAACUAUGCCUGAAUAGGGUGAAGCCAGAGGAAACUCUGGUGGAGGCUCGCAGCGGUUCUGACGUGCAAAUCGAUCGUCAAAUUUGGGUAUAGGGGCGAAAGACUAAUCGAACCAUCUAGUAGCUGGUUCCUGCCGAA
rnacentral:rRNA from 1 species